CUCAGUUUAAAGUCUGGGUUCCAAGUAUUAUUCUGAAACUAUUUCUAGAACACAGAGAGGGAGUGUCUCCUUUCCCCACCCUCACUGCCAAGCCUUGUGGUUCCCUGUGAUGUGGGGGCUACUUGGACAAUACCUGAGAUUUUUCUGGCCAUUGGCCUACUAGGAUUAAAGAAGUCUUUUCAGGGUAAAGCUGAGGGAGAAACUUGGAAACACACUACCUGAUGGUCAUGGGUCCAGCAGAAUUGGCCUUUGGGGGUUUUAUUUGGUUCCAUGUGCCUGGGGGUCUUUAUCAGCUUAGACUUCAUCAUUGGCUCACAGUAAAUCUCUGGUCUUAGUAAUGAAUAAUUAUGACUUCCUUUGCUUAAUUUCUUUUACUGUCUAUGCCCUGGGGCCUCUGCUCUUCUCACCAGAAGGAAUGUUUAAUCUGGACUCUGCACACUUAGGCUAGGAUCUCUUUGCAGUGUGACCAACUUGCCCUCAUCUCCUGGGAGGUUGCUGUGGUUUCCACUCAAGAGUGAGGGUCUUGGGAAUCAACCAACCUAGUUGGCCUUUUAUCUUCUGGGAUCCCAAAGUUCUCACCAAUGUUUUGGGGUAUCCUGGAGCAAAGACCUCCAUUUGGGGGGUGUCACCAAGUUUUCUAUACCACCUGAGGCCACCCUUGACCCCAGAGCUCUAGCUAACAUCUUGAACUCAAGUGAUCCCACCAGGCCCCAUAUUUUUAUCUCUGUCUAAGCAUUAUCCCCCAUUUAU